rnacentral:rRNA from 1 species
AGUGACCUGCGGAAGGAUCAUUG